rnacentral:lncRNA from 1 species
GUGCUUUAGUGCUGGUAUGAUCGCAUCCGACAUACCGUGCGUUCUCCUCCCCUUUAUGCCCGCGCCUCCGUGUACGGCCCGCCCAUAGCUCUUUCGACGGCGCCGCCUAGGAACGCGGAGAAAAUAUGACAAAGGAACGGCCAAAAAUAAAAGAAAGACCUUUCUUUUGAAAAAACAAACGCCUCCGUGUACGGCCCGCCCAUAGCUCCUCCGACGGCCCCGCCUAGGAACGCGAAGAAAAUAUGACAAAGGAACGCCCAAAAAUAAAAAGAAAGACCUUUCUUUUGAAAAAACAAACAUUAAAAAGGAAUGCAACACGAGGACUUCCCAGGAGGUCACCAAUCCUAGUACUACUCUCGCCCAAGCACGCUUAACUUCGAAGUUCUGAUGGGAUCCGGUGCUUUAGUGCUGGUAUGAUCGCAUCCGACAUACCGUGCGUUCUCCUCCCCUUUAUGCCCGCGCCUCCGUGUACGGCCCGCCCAUAGCUCCUUCGACGGCGCCGCCUAGGAACGCGGAGAAAAUAUGACAAAGGAACGGCCAAAAAUAAAAAGAAAGACCUUUCUUUUGAAAAAACAAACAAAAAAAAGGAAUGCAACACGAGGACUUCCCAGGAGGUCACCCAUCCUAGUACUACUCUCGCCCAAGCACGCUUAACUUCGGAGUUCUGAUGGGAUCCGGUGCUUUAGUGCUGGUAUGAUCGCAUCCGACAUACCGUGCGUUCUCCUCCCCUUUAUGCCCGCGCCUCCGUGUACGGCCCGCCCAUAGCUCCUUCGACGGCGCCGCCUAGGAACGCGGAGAAAAUAUGACAAAGGAACGGCCAAAAAUAAAAAGAAAGACCUUUCUUUUGAAAAAACAAACAAAAAAAAGGAAUGCAACACGAGGACUUCCCAGGAGGUCACCCAUCCUAGUACUACUCUCGCCCAAGCACGCUUAACUUCGGAGUUCUGAUGGGAUCCGGUGCUUUAGUGCUGGUAUGAUCGCAUCCGACAUACCGUGCGUUCUCCUCCCCUUUAUGCCCGCGCCUCCGUGUACGGCCCGCCCAUAGCUCCUUCGACGGCGCCGCCUAGGAACGCGGAGAAAAUAUGACAAAGGAACGGCCAAAAAUAAAAAGAAAGACCUUUCUUUUGAAAAAAAAAACAAAAAAAAGGAAUGCAACACGAGGACUUCCCAGGAGGUCACCCAUCCUAGUACUACUCUCGCCCAAGCACGCUUAACUUCGGAGUUCUGAUGGGAUCCGGUGCUUUAUUGCUGGUAUGAUCGCAUCCGACAUACCGUGCGUUCUCCUCCCCUUUAUGCCCGCACCUCCGUGUACGGCCCGCCCAUAGCUCCUUCGACGGCGCCGCCUAGGAACGCGGAGAAAAUAUGACAAAGGAACGGCCAAAAAUAAAAAGAAAGACCUUUCUUUUGAAAAAACAAACAAAAAAAAGGAAUGCAACACGAGGACUUCCCAGGAGGUCACCCAUCCUAGUACUACUCUCGCCCAAGCACGCUUAACUUCGGAGUUCUGAUGGGAUCCGGUGCUUUAGUGCUGGUAUGAUCGCAUCCGACAUACCGUGCGUUCUCCUCCCCUUUAUGCCCGCGCCUCCGUGUACGGCCCGCCCAUAGCUCCUUCGACGGCGCCGCCUAGGAACGCGGAGAAAAUAUGACAAAGGAACGGCCAAAAAUAAAAAGAAAGACCUUUCUUUUGAAAAAACAAACAAAUAAAAGGAAUGCAACACGAGGACUUCCCAGGAGGUCACCCAUCCUAGUACUACUCUCGCCCAAGCACGCUUAACUUCGAAGUUCUGAUGGGAUCCGGUGCUUUAGUGCUGGUAUGAUCGUAUCCGACAUACCGUGCGUUCUCCUCCCCUGAAUGCCCGCGCCUCCGUGUACGGCCCGCCCAGAGCUCUUUAGAUGGGACUUCCGAUGGAAUCGGAGACAAUAGGACAAAGGAACGGCCAAAAAUAAAAAGAAAGACCUUUCUUCCGAAAAAACAAACGCCUCCGUGUACGGCCCGCCCAUAGCUCCUUCGACGGCGCCGCCUAGGAACGCGGAGAAAAUAUGACAAAGGAACGGCCAAAAAUAAAAAGAAAGACCUUUCUUUUGAAAAAACAAACAAAAAAAAGGAAUGCAACACGAGGACUUCCCAGGAGGUCACCCAUCCUAGUACUACUCUCGCCCAAGCACGCUUAACUUCGGAGUUCUGAUGGGAUCCGGUGCUUUAGUGCUGGUAUGAUCGCAUCCGACAUACCGUGCGUUCUCCUCCCCUUUAUGCCCGCGCCUCCGUGUACGGCCCGCCCAUAGCUCCUUCGACGGCGCCGCCUAGGAACGCGGAGAAAAUAUGACAAAGGAACGGCCAAAAAUAAAAAGAAAGACCUUUCUUUUGAAAAAACAAACGCCUCCGUGUACGGCCCGCCCAUAGCUCCUUCGACGGCGCCGCCUAGGAACGCGGAGAAAAUAUGACAAAGGAACGGCCAAAAAUAAAAAGAAAGACCUUUCUUUUGAAAAAACAAACAAAAAAAAGGAAUGCAACACGAGGACUUCCCAGGAGGUCACCCAUCCUAGUACUACUCUCGCCCAAGCACGCUUAACUUCGGAGUUCUGAUGGGAUCCGGUGCUUUAGUGCUGGUAUGAUCGCAUCCGACAUACCGUGCGUUCUCCUCCCCUUUAUGCCCGCGCCUCCGUGUACGGCCCGCCCAUAGCUCCUUCGACGGCGCCGCCUAGGAACGCGGAGAAAAUAUGACAAAGGAACGGCCAAAAAUAAAAAGAAAGACCUUUCUUUUGAAAAAACAAACAAAAAAAAGGAAUGCAACACGAGGACUUCCCAGGAGGUCACCCAUCCUAGUACUACUCUCGCCCAAGCACGCUUAACUUCGGAGUUCUGAUGGGAUCCGGUGCUUUAGUGCUGGUAUGAUCGCAUCCGACAUACCGUGCGUUCUCCUCCCCUUUAUGCCCGCGCCUCCGUGUACGGCCCGCCCAUAGCUCCUUCGACGGCGCCGCCUAGGAACGCGGAGAAAAUAUGACAAAGGAACGGCCAAAAAUAAAAAGAAAGACCUUUCUUUUGAAAAAACAAACAAAUAAAAGGAAUGCAACACGAGGACUUCCCAGGAGGUCACCCAUCCUAGUACUACUCUCGCCCAAGCACGCUUAACUUCGGAGUUCUGAUGGGAUCCGGUGCUUUAGUGCUGGUAUGAUCGCAUCCGACAUACCGUGCGUUCUCCUCCCCUUUAUGCCCGCGCCUCCGUGUACGGCCCGCCCAUAGCUCCUUCGACGGCGCCGCCUAGGAACGCGGAGAAAAUAUGACAAAGGAACGGCCAAAAAUAAAAAGAAAGACCUUUCUUUUGAAAAAACAAACAAAUAAAAGGAAUGCAACACGAGGACUUCCCAGGAGGUCACCCAUCCUAGUACUACUCUCGCCCAAGCACGCUUAACUUCGGAGCUCUGAUGGGAUCCGGUGCUUUAGUGCUGGUAUGAUCGCAUCCGACAUACCGUGCGUUCUCCUCCCCUUUAUGCCCGCGCCUCCGUGUACGGCCCGCCCAUAGCUCCUUCGACGGCGCCGCCUAGGAACGCGGAGAAAAUAUGACAAAGGAACGGCCAAAAAUAAAAAGAAAGACCUUUCUUUUGAAAAAACAAACAAAAAAAAGGAAUGCAACACGAGGACUUCCCAGGAGGUCACCCAUCCUAGUACUACUCUCGCCCAAGCACGCUUAACUUCGGAGUUCUGAUGGGAUCCGGUGCUUUAGUGCUGGUAUGAUCGCAUCCGACAUACCGUGCGUUCUCCUCCCCUUUAUGCCCGCGCCUCCGUGUACGGCCCGCCCAUAGCUCCUUCGACGGCGCCGCCUAGGAACGCGGAGAAAAUAUGACAAAGGAACGGCCAAAAAUAAAAAGAAAGACCUUUCUUUUGAAAAAACAAACAAAAAAAAGGAAUGCAACACGAGGACUUCCCAGGAGGUCACCCAUCCUAGUACUACUCUCGCCCAAGCACGCUUAACUUCGGAGUUCUGAUGGGAUCCGGUGCUUUAGUGCUGGUAUGAUCACAUCCGACAUACCGUGCGUUCUCCUCCCCUUUAUGCCCGCGCCUCCGUGUACGGCCCGCCCAUAGCUCCUUCGACGGCGCCGCCUAGGAACGCGGAGAAAAUAUGACAAAGGAACGGCCAAAAAUAAAAAGAAAGACCUUUCUUUUGAAAAAACAAACAAAAAAAAGGAAUGCAACACGAGGACUUCCCAGGAGGUCACCCAUUCUAGUACUACUCUCGCCCAAGCAAGCUUAACUUCGGAGUUCUGAUGGGAUCCGGUGCUUUAGUGCUGGUAUGAUCGCAUCCGACAUACCGUGCGUUCUCCUCCCCUUUAUGCCCGCGCCUCCGUGUACGGCCCGCCCAUAGCUCCUUCGACGGCGCCGCCUAGGAACGCGGAGAAAAUAUGACAAAGGAACGGCCAAAAAUAAAAAGAAAGACCUUUCUUUUGAAAAAACAAACAAAAAAAAGGAAUGCAACACGAGGACUUCCCAAAAUAUGACAAAGGAACGGCCAAAAAUAAAAAGAAAGACCUUUCUUUUGAAAAAACAAACAAAAAAAAGGAAUGCAACACGAGGACUUCCCAGGAGGUCACCCAUUCUAGUACUACUCUCGCCCAAGCAAGCUUAACUUCGGAGUUCUGAUGGGAUCCGGUGCUUUAGUGCUCGUAUGAUCGCAUCCGACAUACCGUGCGUUCUCCUCCCCUUUAUGCCCGCGCCUCCGUGUACGGCCCGCCCAUAGCUCCUUCGACGGCGCCGCCUAUGAACGCGGAGAAAAUAUGACAAAGGAACGGCCAAAAAUAAAAAGAAAGACCUUUCUUUUGAAAAAACAAACAAAAAAAAGGAAUGCAACACGAGGACUUCCCAGGAGGUCACCCAUCCUAGUACUACUCUCGCCCAAGCACGCUUAACUUCGGAGUUCUGAUGGGAUCCGGUGCUUUAGUGCUGGUAUGAUCGCAUCCGACAUACCGUGCGUUCUCCUCCCCUUUAUGCCCGCGCCUCCGUGUACGGCCCGCCCAUAGCUCCUUCGACGGCGCCGCCUAGGAACGCGGAGAAAAUAUGACAAAGGAACGGCCAAAAAUAAAAAGAAAGACCUUUCUUUUGAAAAAACAAACAAAAAAAAGGAAUGCAACACGAGGACUUCCCAGGAGGUCACCCAUCCUAGUACUACUCUCGCCCAAGCACGCUUAACUUCGGAGUUCUGAUGGGAUCCGGUGCUUUAGUGCUGGUAUGAUCGCAUCCGACAUACCGUGCGUUCUCCUCCCCUUUAUGCCCGCGCCUCCGUGUACGGCCCGCCCAUAGCUCCUUCGACGGCGCCGCCUAGGAACGCGGAGAAAAUAUGACAAAGGAACGGCCAAAAAUAACAAGAAAGACCUUUCUUUUGAAAAAACAAACAAAAAAAAGGAAUGCAACACGAGGACUUCCCAGGAGGUCACCAAUCCUAGUACUACUCUCGCCCAAGCACGCUUAACUUCGGAGUUCUGAUGGGAUCCGGUGCUUUAGUGCUGGUAUGAUCGCAUCCGACAUACCGUGCGUUCUCCUCCCCUUUAUGCCCGCGCCUCCGUGUACGGCCCGCCCAUAGCUCCUUCGACGGCGCCGCCUAGGAACGCGGAGAAAAUAUGACAAAGGAACGGCCAAAAAUAAAAAGAAAGACCUUUCUUUUGAAAAAACAAACAAAUAAAAGGAAUGCAACACGAGGACUUCCCAGGAGGUCACCCAUCCUAGUACUACUCUCGCCCAAGCACGCUUAACUUCGGAGUUCUGAUGGGAUCCGGUGCUUUAGUGCUGGUAUGAUCGCAUCCGACAUACCGUGCGUUCUCCUCCCCUUUAUGCCCGCGCCUCCGUGUACGGCCCGCCCAUAGCUCCUUCGACGGCGCCGCCUAGGAACGCGGAGAAAAUAUGACAAAGGAACGGCCAAAAAUAAAAAGAAAGACCUUUCUUUUGAAAAAACAAACAAAAAAAAGGAAUGCAACACGAGGACUUCCCAGGAGGUCACCCAUCCUAGUACUACUCUCGCCCAAGCACGCUUAACUUCGGAGUUCUGAUGGGAUCCGGUGCUUUAGUGCUGGUAUGAUCGCAUCCGACAUACCGUGCGUUCUCCUCCCCUUUAUGCCCGCGCCUCCGUGUACGGCCCGCCCAUAGCUCCUUCGACGGCGCCGCCUAGGAACGCGGAGAAAAUAUGACAAAGGAACGGCCAAAAAUAAAAAGAAAGACCUUUCUUUUGAAAAAACAAACAAAAAAAAGGAAUGCAACACGAGGACUUCCCAGGAGGUCACCCAUCCUAGUACUACUCUCGCCCAAGCACGCUUAACUUCGGAGUUCUGAUGGGAUCCGGUGCUUUAGUGCUGGUAUGAUCGCAUCCGACAUACCGUGCGUUCUCCUCCCCUUUAUGCCCGCGCCUCCGUGUACGGCCCGCCCAUAGCUCCUUCGACGGCGCCGCCUAGGAACGCGGAGAAAAUAUGACAAAGGAACGGCCAAAAAUAAAAAGAAAGACCUUUCUUUUGAAAAAACAAACGCCUCCGUGUACGGCCCGCCCAUAGCUCCUUCGACGGCGCCGCCUAGGAACGCGGAGAAAAUAUGACAAAGGAACGGCCAAAAAUAAAAAGAAAGACCUUUCUUUUGAAAAAACAAACAAAAAAAAGGAAUGCAACACGAGGACUUCCCAGGAGGUCACCCAUCCUAGUACUACUCUCGCCCAAGCACGCUUAACUUCGGAGUUCUGAUGGGAUCCGGUGCUUUAGUGCUGGUAUGAUCGCAUCCGACAUACCGUGCGUUCUCCUCCCCUUUAUGCCCGCGCCUCCGUGUACGGCCCGCCCAUAGCUCCUUCGACGGCGCCGCCUAGGAACGCGGAGAAAAUAUGACAAAGGAACGGCCAAAAAUAAAAAGAAAGACCUUUCUUUUGAAAAAACAAACAAAAAAAAGGAAUGCAACACGAGGACUUCCCAGGAGGUCACCCAUCCUAGUACUACUCUCGCCCAAGCACGCUUAACUUCGGAGUUCUGAUGGGAUCCGGUGCUUUAGUGCUGGUAUGAUCGCAUCCGACAUACCGUGCGUUCUCCUCCCCUUUAUGCCCGCGCCUCCGUGUACGGCCCGCCCAUAGCUCCUUCGACGGCGCCGCCUAGGAACGCGGAGAAAAUAUGACAAAGGAACGGCCCAAAAUAAAAAGAAAGACCUUUCUUUUGAAAAAACAAACAAAAAAAAGGGAAUGCAACACGAGGACUUCCCAGGAGGUCACCCAUCCUAGUACUACUCUCGCCCAAGCACGCUUAACUUCGGAGUUCUGAUGGGAUCCGGUGCUUUAGUGCUGGUAUGAUCGCAUCCGACAUACCGUGCGUUCUCCUCCCCUUUAUGCCCGCGCCUCCGUGUACGGCCCGCCCAUAGCUCCUUCGACGGCGCCGCCUAGGAACGCGGAGAAAAUAUGACAAAGGAACGACCAAAAAUAAAAAGAAAGACCUUUCUUUUGAAAAAACAAACAAAAAAAAGGAAUGCAACACGAGGACUUCCCAGGAGGUCACCCAUCCUAGUACUACUCUCGCCCAAGCACGCUUAACUUCGGAGUUCUGAUGGGAUCCGGUGCUUUAGUGCUGGUAUGAUCGCAUCCGACAUACCGUGCGUUCUCCUCCCCUUUAUGCCCGCGCCUCCGUGUACGGCCCGCCCAUAGCUCCUUCGACGGCGCCGCCUAGGAACGCGGAGAAAAUAUGACAAAGGAACGGCCAAAAAUAAAAAGAAAGACCUUUCUUUUGAAAAAACAAACAAAAAAAAGGAAUGCAACACGAGGACUUCCCAGGAGGUCACCCAUCCUAGUACUACUCUCGCCCAAGCACGCUUAACUUCGGAGUUCUGAUGGGAUCCGGUGCUUUAGUGCUGGUAUGAUCGCAUCCGACAUACCGUGCGUUCUCCUCCCCUUUAUGCCCGCGCCUCCGUGUACGGCCCGCCCAUAGCUCCUUCGACGGCGCCGCCUAGGAACGCGGAGAAAAUAUGACAAAGGAACGGCCAAAAAUAAAAAGAAAGACCUUUCUUUUGAAAAAACAAACAAAAAAAAGGAAUGCAACACGAAGACUUCCCAGGAGGUCACCCAUCCUAGUACUACUCUCGCCCAAGCACGCUUAACUUCGGAGUUCUGAUGGGAUCCGGUGCUUUAGUGCUGGUAUGAUCGCAUCCGACAUACCGUGCGUUCUCCUCCCCUUUAUGCCCGCGCCUCCGUGUACGGCCCGCCCAUAGCUCCUUCGACGGCGCCGCCUAGGAACGCGGAGAAAAUAUGACAAAGGAACGGCCAAAAAUAAAAAGAAAGACCUUUCUUUUGAAAAAACAAACAAAAAAAAGGAAUGCAACACGAGGACUUCCCAGGAGGUCACCCAUCCUAGUACUACUCUCGCCCAAGCACGCUUAACUUCGGAGUUCUGAUGGGAUCCGGUGCUUUAGUGCUGGUAUGAUCGCAUCCGACAUACCGUGCGUUCUCCUCCCCUUUAUGCCCGCGCCUCCGUGUACGGCCCGCCCAUAGCUCCUUCGACGGCGCCGCCUAGGAACGCGGAGAAAAUAUGACAAAGGAACGGCCAAAAAUAAAAAGAAAGACCUUUCUUUUGAAAAAACAAACAAAAAAAAGGAAUGCAACACGAGGACUUCCCAGGAGGUCACCCAUCCUAGUACUACUCUCGCCCAAGCACGCUUAACUUCGGAGUUCUGAUGGGAUCCGGUGCUUUAGUGCUGGUAUGAUCGCAUCCGACAUACCGUGCGUUCUCCUCCCCUUUAUGCCCGCGCCUCCGUGUACGGCCCGCCCAUAGCUCCUUCGACGGCGCCGCCUAGGAACGCGGAGAAAAUAUGACAAAGGAACGGCCAAAAAUAAAAAGAAAGACCUUUCUUUUGAAAAAACAAACAAAAAAAAGGAAUGCAACACGAGGACUUCCCAGGAGGUCACCCAUCCUAGUACUACUCUCGCCCAAGCACGCUUAACUUCGGAGUUCUGAUGGGAUCCGGUGCUUUAGUGCUGGUAUGAUCGCAUCCGACAUACCGUGCGUUCUCCUCCCCUUUAUGCCCGCGCCUCCGUGUACGGCCCGCCCAUAGCUCCUUCGACGGCGCCGCCUAGGAACGCGGAGAAAAUAUGACAAAGGAACGGCCAAAAAUAAAAAGAAAGACCUUUCUUUUGAAAAAACAAACAAAAAAAAGGAAUGCAACACGAGGACUUCCCAGGAGGUCACCCAUCCUAGUACUACUCUCGCCCAAGCACGCUUAACUUCGGAGUUCUGAUGGGAUCCGGUGCUUUAGUGCUGGUAUGAUCGCAUCCGACAUACCGUGCGUUCUCCUCCCCUUUAUGCCCGCGCCUCCGUGUACGGUCCGCCCAUAGCUCCUUCGACGGCGCCGCCUAGGAACGCGGAGAAAAUAUGACAAAGGAACGGCCAAAAAUAAAAAGAAAGUCCUUUCUUUUGAAAAAACAAACAAAAAAAAGGUAUGCAACACGAGGACUUCCUAGGAGGUCACCCAUCCUAGUACUACUCUCGCCCAAGCACGCUUAACUUCGGAGUUCUGAUGGGAUCCGGUGCUUUAGUGCUGGUAUGAUCGCAUCCGACAUACCGUGCGUUCUCCUCCCCUUUAUGCCCGCGCCUCCGUGUACGGCCCGCCCAUAGCUCCUUCGACGGCGCCGCCUAGGAACGCGGAGAAAAUAUGACAAAGGAACGGCCAAAAAUAAAAAGAAAGACCUUUCUUUUGAAAAAACAAACAAAAAAAAGGAAUGCAACACGAGGACUUCCCAGGAGGUCACCCAUCCUAGUACUACUCUCGCCCAAGCACGCUUAACUUCGGAGUUCUGAUGGGAUCCGGUGCUUUAGUGCUGGUAUGAUCGCAUCCGACAUACCGUGCGUUCUCCUCCCCUUUAUGCCCGCGCCUCCGUGUACGGCCCGCCCAUAGCUCCUUCGACGGCGCCGCCUAGGAACGCGGAGAAAAUAUGACAAAGGAACGGCCAAAAAUAAAAAGAAAGACCUUUCUUUGAAAAAACAAAGAAAUAAAAGGAAUGCAACACGAGGACUUCCCAGGAGGUCACCCAUCCUAGUACUACUCUCGCCCAAGCACGCUUAACUUCGGAGUUCUGAUGGGAUCCGGUGCUUUAGUGCUGGUAUGAUCGCAUUCGACAUACCGUGCGUUCUCCUCCCCUUUAUGCCCGCGCCUCCGUGUACGGCCCGCCCAUAGCUCCUUCGACGGCGCCGCCUAGGAACGCGGAGAAAAUAUGACAAAGGAACGGCCAAAAAUAAAAAGAAAGACCUUUCUUUUGAAAAAACAAACAAAUAAAAGGAAUGCAACACGAGGACUUCCCAGGAGGUCACCCAUCCUAGUACUACUCUCGCCCAAGCACGCUUAACUUCGGAGUUCUGAUGGGAUCCGGUGCUUUAGUGCUGGUAUGAUCGCAUCCGACAUACCGUGCGUUCUCCUCCCCUUUAUGCCCGCGCCUCCGUGUACGGCCCGCCCAUAGCUCCUUCGACGGCGCCGCCUAGGAACGCGGAGAAAAUAUGACAAAGGAACGGCCAAAAAUAAAAAGAAAGACCUUUCUUUUGAAAAAACAAACGCCUCCGUGUACGGCCCGCCCAUAGCUCCUUCGACGGCGCCGCCUAGGAACGCGGAGAAAAUAUGACAAAGGAACGGCCAAAAAUAAAAAGAAAGACCUUUCUUUUGAAAAAACAAACAAAAAAAAGGAAUGCAACACGAGGACUUCCCAGGAGGUCACCCAUCCUAUUACUACUCUCGCCCAAGCACGCUUAACUUCGGAGUUCUGAUGGGAUCCGGUGCUUUAGUGCUGGUAUGAUCGCAUCCGACAUACCGUGCGUUCUCCUCCCCUUUAUGCCCGCGCCUCCGUGUACGGCCCGCCCAUAGCUCCUUCGACGGCGCCGCCUAGGAACGCGGAGAAAAUAUGACAAAGGAACGGCCAAAAAUAAAAAGAAAGACCUUUCUUUUGAAAAAACAAACAAAAAAAAGGAAUGCAACACGAGGACUUCCCAGGAGGUCACCCAUCCUAGUACUACUCUCGCCCAAGCACGCUUAACUUCGGAGUUCUGAUGGGAUCCGGUGCUUUAGUGCUGGUAUGAUCGCAUCCGACAUACCGUGCGUUCUCCUCCCCUUUAUGCCCGCGCCUCCGUGUACGGCCCGCCCAUAGCUCCUUCGACGGCGCCGCCUAGGAACGCGGAGAAAAUAUGACAAAGGAACGGCCAAAAAUAAAAAGAAAGACCUUUCUUUUGAAAAAACAAACAAAAAAAAGGAAUGCAACACGAGGACUUCCCAGGAGGUCACCCAUCCUAGUACUACUCUCGCCCAAGCACGCUUAACUUCGGAGUUCUGAUGGGAUCCGGUGCUUUAGUGCUGGUAUGAUCGCAUCCGACAUACCGUGCGUUCUCCUCCCCUUUAUGCCCGCGCCUCCGUGUACGGCCCGCCCAUAGCUCCUUCGACGGCGCCGCCUAGGAACGCGGAGAAAAUAUGACAAAGGAACGGCCAAAAAUAAAAAGAAAGACCUUUCUUUUGAAAAAACAAACAAAUAAAAGGAAUGCAACACGAGGACUUCCCAGGAGGUCACCCAUCCUAGUACUACUCUCGCCCAAGCACGCUUAACUUCGGAGUUCUGAUGGGAUCCGGUGCUUUAGUGCUGGUAUGAUCGCAUCCGACAUACCGUGCGUUCUCCUCCCCUUUAUGCCCGCGCCUCCGUGUACGGCCCGCCCAUAGCUCCUUCGACGGCGCCGCCUAGGAACGCGGAGAAAAUAUGACAAAGGAACGGCCAAAAAUAAAAAGAAAGACCUUUCUUUUGAAAAAACAAACAAAUAAAAGGAAUGCAACACGAGGACUUCCCAGGAGGUCACCCAUACUAGUACUACUCUCGCCCAAGCACGCUUAACUUCGGAGUUCUAAUGGGAUCCGGUGCUUUAGUGCUGGUAUGAUCGCAUCCGACAUACCGUGCGUUCUCCUCCCCUUUAUGCCCGCGCCUCCGUGUACGGCCCGCCCAUAGCUCCUUCGACGGCGCCGCCUAGGAACGCGGAGAAAAUAUGACAAAGGAACGGCCAACAAUAANNNNNNNNNNNNNNNNNNNNNNNNNNNNNNNNNNNNNNNNNNNNNNNNNNNNNNNNNNNNNNNNNNNNNNNNNNNNNNNNNNNNNNNNNNNNNNNNNNNNGUCACCCAUCCCAGUACUACUCUCGCCCAAGGCACGCUUAACUUCGGAGUUCUGAUGGGAUCCGGUGCUUUAGUGCUGGUAUGAUCGCAUCCGACAUACCGUGCGUUCUCCUCCCCUUUAUGCCCGCGCCUCCGUGUACGGCCCGCCCAUAGCUCGUUCGACGCCGCCGCCUAGGAACCCGGAGAAAAUAUGACAAAGGAACGGCCAAAAAUCCAAAGAAAGAUCUUUCUUUUGAAAAAACCACCAUAAAAGGAAUGCAACACGAGGACUUCCCAGGAGGUCACCCAUCCUAGUACUACUCUCGCCCAAGCACGCUUAACUUCGGAGUUCUGAUGGGAUCCAGUGCUUUAGUGCUGGUAUGAUCGCAUCCGACAUACCGUGCGUUCUCCUCCCCUUUAUGCCCGCGCCUCCGUGUACGGCCCGCCCAUAGCUCGUUCGACGGCGCCGCCUAGGAACGCGGAGAAAAUAUGACAAAAGAACGGCCAAAAAUAAAAAGAAAGACCUUUCUUUUGAAAAAAGAAACAAAAAAAGGAAUGCAACACGAGGACUUCCCAAGAGGUCACCCAUCCUAGUGCUACUCUCGCCCAAGCACGCUUAACUUCGGAGUUCUGAUGGGAUCCGGUGCUUCAGUGCUGGUAUGAUCGCAUCCGAUAUACCGUGCGUUCUCCUCCCCUUUAUGCCCGCGCCUCCGUGUACGGCCCGCCCAUAGCUCGUUCGACGGCGCCGCCUAGGAACGCGGAGAAACUAUGACAAAGGAACGGCCAAAAAUAAAAAGAAAUACCUUUCUUUUGAAAAAACAAACAAAAAAAGGAAUGCAACACGAGAACUUUCCACGAGGUCACCCAUCCUAGUACUACUCUCGUCCAAACACGCUUAACUUCAGAGUUCUAAUGGGAUCCGGUGCUUUAGUGCUGGUAUGAUCGCAUCCGACAUACCGUGCGUUCUCCUCCCCUUUAUGCCCGCGCCUCCGUGUACGGCCCGCCCAUAGCUCCUUCGACGGCGCCGCCUAGGAACGCGGAGAAAAUAUGACAAAGGAACGGCCAAAAAUAAAAAGAAAGACCUUUCUUUUGAAAAAACAAACAAAAAAAGGAAUGCAACACGAGGACUUCCCAGGAGGUCACCCAUCCUAGUACUACUCUCGCCCAAGCACGCUUAACUUCAAAGUUCUGAUGGGAUCCGGUGCUUUAGUGCUGGUAUGAUCGCAUCCGACAUACCGUGCGUUCUCCUCCCCUUUAUGCCCGCGCCUCCGUGUACGGCCCGCCCAUAGCUCCUUCGACGGCGCCGCCUAGGAACGCGGAGAAAAUAUGACAAAGGAACGGCCAAAAAUAAAAAGAAAGACCUUUCUUUUGAAAAAACAAACAAAAAAAGGAAUGCAACACGAGGACUUCCCAGGAGGUCACCCAUCCUAGUACUACUGUCGCCCAAGCACGCUUAAGUUCGGAGUUCUGAUGGGAUCCGGUGCUUUAGUGCUGGUAUGAUCGCAUCCGACAUGCCGUGCGUUCUCCUCCCCUUUAUGCCCGCGCCUCCGUGUACGGCCCGCCCAUAGCUCCUUCGUCGGCGCCGCCUAGGAACGCGGAGAAAAUAUGACAAAGGAACGGCCAAAAAUAAAAAGAAAGACCUUUCUUUUGAAAAAACAAACGCCUCCGUGUACGGCCCGCCCAUAGCUCCUUCGACGGCGCCGCCUAGGAACGCGGAGAAAAUAUGACAAAGGAACGGCCAAAAAUAAAAAGAAAGACCUUUCUUUUGAAAAAACAAACAAAAAAAAGGAAUGCAACACGAGGACUUCCCAGGAGGUCACCCAUCCUAGUACUACUCUCGCCCAAGCACGCUUAACUUCGGAGUUCUGAUGGGAUCCGGUGCUUUAGUGCUGGUAUGAUCGCAUCCGACAUACCGUGCGUUCUCCUCCCCUUUAUGCCCGCCCCUCCGUGUACGGCCCGCCCAUAGCUCUUUCGACGGCGCCGCCUAGGAACGCGGAGAAAAUAUGACAAAGGAACGGCCAAAAAUAAAAAGAAAGACCUUUCUUUUGAAAAAACAAACGCCUCCGUGUACGGCCCGCCCAUAGCUCCUUCGACGGCGCCGCCUAGGAACGCGGAGAAAAUAUGACAAAGGAACGGCCAAAAAUAAAAAGAAAGACCUUUCUUUUGAAAAAACAAACAAAAAAAAGGAAUGCAACACGAGGACUUCCCAGGAGGUCACCCAUCCUAGUACUACUCUCGCCCAAGCACGCUUAACUUCGGAGUUCUGAUGGGAUCCGGUGCUUUAGUGCUGGUAUGAUCGCAUCCGACAUACCGUGCGUUCUCCUCCCCUUUAUGCCCGCGCCUCCGUGUACGGCCCGCCCAUAGCUCCUUCGACGGCGCCGCCUAGGAACGCGGAGAAAAUAUGACAAAGGAACGGCCAAAAAUAAAAAGAAAGACCUUUCUUUUGAAAAAACAAACAAAAAAAAGGAAUGCAACACGAGGACUUCCCAGGAGGUCACCCAUCCUAGUACUACUCUCGCCCAAGCACGCUUAACUUCGGAGUUCUGAUGGGAUCCGGUGCUUUAGUGCUGGUAUGAUCGCAUCCGACAUACCGUGCGUUCUCCUCCCCUUUAUGCCCGCGCCUCCGUGUACGGCCCGCCCAUAGCUCCUUCGACGGCGCCGCCUAGGAACGCGGAGAAAAUAUGACAAAGGAACGGGCAAAAAUAAAAAGAAAGACCUUUCUUUUGAAAAAACAAACAAAAAAAAGGAAUGCAACACGAGGACUUCCCAGGAGGUCACCCAUCCUAGUACUACUCUCGCCCAAGCACGCUUAACUUCGGAGUUCUGAUGGGAUCCGGUGCUUUAGUGCUGGUAUGAUCGCAUCCGACAUACCGUGCGUUCUCCUCCCCUUUAUGCCCGCGCCUCCGUGUACGGGCCGUCCAUAGCUCCUUCGACGGCGCCGCCUAUGAACGCGGAGAAAAUAUGACAAAGGAACGGCCAACAAUCAUACGAAAGACCUUUCUUUUGAAAAAACAAACAAAAAAAAGGAAUGCGACACGAGGACUUCCCAGGAGGUCACCCAUCCUAGUACUACUCUCGCCCAAGCACGCUUAACUUCGGAGUUCUGAUGGGAUCCGGUGCUUUAGUGCUAGUAUGAUCGCAUUCGACAUACCGUGCGUUCUCCUCCCCUUUAUGCCCGCGCCUCCGUGUACGGCCCGCCCAUAGCUCCUUCGACGGCGCCGCCUAGGAACGCGGAGAAAAUAUGACAAAGGAACGGCCAAAAAUAAAAAGAAAGACCUUUCUUUUGAAAAAACAAACAAAUAAAAGGAAUGCAACACGAGGACUUCCCAGGAGGUCACCCAUCCUAGUACUACUCUCGCCCAAGCACGCUUAACUUCGGAGUUCUGAUGGGAUCCGGUGCUUUAGUGCUGGUAUGAUCGCAUCCGACAUACCGUGCGUUCUCCUCCCCUUUAUGCCCGCGCCUCCGUGUACGGCCCGCCCAUAGCUCCUUCGACGGCGCCGCCUAGGAACGCGGAGAAAAUAUGACAAAGGAACGGCCAAAAAUAAAAAGAAAGACCUUUCUUUUGAAAAAACAAACGCCUCCGUGUACGGCCCGCCCAUAGCUCCUUCGACGGCGCCGCCUAGGAACGCGGAGAAAAUAUGACAAAGGAACGGCCAAAAAUAAAAAGAAAGACCUUUCUUUUGAAAAAACAAACAAAAAAAAGGAAUGCAACACGAGGACUUCCCAGGAGGUCACCCAUCCUAGUACUACUCUCGCCCAAGCACGCUUAACUUCGGAGUUCUGAUGGGAUCCGGUGCUUUAGUGCUGGUAUGAUCGCAUCCGACAUACCGUGCGUUCUCCUCCCCUUUAUGCCCGCGCCUCCGUGUACGGCCCGCCCAUAGCUCCUUCGACGGCGCCGCCUAGGAACGCGGAGAAAAUAUGACAAAGGAACGGCCAAAAAUAAAAAGAAAGACCUUUCUUUUGAAAAAACAAACAAAUAAAAGGAAUGCAACACGAGGACUUCCCAGGAGGUCACCCAUCCUAGUACUACUCUCGCCCAAGCACGCUUAACUUCGGAGUUCUGAUGGGAUCCGGUGCUUUAGUGCUGGUAUGAUCGCAUCCGACAUACCGUGCGUUCUCCUCCCCUUUAUGCCCGCGCCUCCGUGUACGGCCCGCCCAUAGCUCCUUCGACGGCGCCGCCUAGGAACGCGGAGAAAAUAUGACAAAGGAACGGCCAAAAAUAAAAAGAAAGACCUUUCUUUUGAAAAAACAAACAAAUAAAAGGAAUGCAACACGAGGACUUCCCAGGAGGUCACCCAUCCUAGUACUACUCUCGCCCAAGCACGCUUAACUUCGGAGUUCUGAUGGGAUCCGGUGCUUUAGUGCUGGUAUGAUCGCAUCCGACAUACCGUGCGUUCUCCUCCCCUUUAUGCCCGCGCCUCCGUGUACGGCCCGCCCAUAGCUCCUUCGACGGCGCCGCCUUGGAACGCGGAGAAAAUAUGACAAAGGAACGGCCAAAAAUAAAAAGAAAGACCUUUCUUUUGAAAAAACAAACAAAUAAAAGGAAUGCAACACGAGGACUUCCCAGGAGGUCACCCAUCCUAGUACUACUCUCGCCCAAGCACGCUUAACUUCGGAGUUCUGAUGGGAUCCGGUGCUUUAGUGCUGGUAUGAUCGCAUCCGACAUACCGUGCGUUCUCCUCCCCUUUAUGCCCGCGCCUCCGUGUACGGCCCGCCCAUAGCUCCUUCGACGGCGCCGCCUAGGAACGCGGAGAAAAUAUGACAAAGGAACGGCCAAAAAUAAAAAGAAAGACCUUUCUUUUGAAAAAACAAACAAAUAAAAGGAAUGCAACACGAGGACUUCCCAGGAGGUCACCCAUCCUAGUACUACUCUCGCCCAAGCACGCUUAACUUCGGAGUUCUGAUGGGAUCCGGUGCUUUAGUGCUGGUAUGAUCGCAUUCGACAUACCGUGCGUUCUCCUCCCCUUUAUGCCCGCGCCUCCGUGUACGGGCCGCCCAUAGCUCCUUCGACGGCGCCGCCUAGGAACGCGGAGAAAAUAUGACAAAGGAACGGCCAAAAAUAAAAAGAAAGACCUGUUCUUUUGAAAAAACAAACUAAAAAAAGGAAUGCAGCACGAGGACUUCCCAGGAGGUCACCCAUCCUAAUACUACUCUCGCCCAAGCACGCUUAACUUCGGAGUUCUGAUGGGAUCCGGAGCUUUAGUGUUGGUAUGAUCGCAUCCGACAUACCGUGCGUUCUCCUCCCCUUUAUGCACCCGCCUCCGUGUACGGCCCGCCCAUAGCUCCUUCGACGGCGCCGCCUAGGAACGCGGAGAAAAUAUGACAAAGGAACGGCCAAAAAUAAAAAGAAAGACCUUUCUUUUGAAAAAACAAACAAAAAAAAGGAAUGCAACACGAGGACUUCCCAGGAGGUCACCCAUCCUAGUACUACUCUCGCCCAAGCACGCUUAACUUCGGAGUUCUGAUGGGAUCCGGUGCUUUAGUGCUGGUAUGAUCGCAUCCGACAUACCGUGCGUUCUCCUCCCCUUUAUGCCCGCGCCUCCGUGUACGGCCCGCCCAUAGCUCCUUCGACGGCGCCGCCUAGGAACGCGGAGAAAAUAUGACAAAGGAACGGCCAAAAAUAAAAAGAAAGACCUUUCUUUUGAAAAAACAAACAAAAAAAAGGAAUGCAACACGAGGACUUCCCAGGAGGUCACCCAUCCUAGUACUACUCUCGCCCAAGCACGCUUAACUUCGGAGUUCUGAUGGGAUCCGGUGCUUUAGUGCUGGUAUGAUCGCAUCCGACAUACCGUGCGUUCUCCUCCCCUUUAUGCCCGCGCCUCCGUGUACGGCCCGCCCAUAGCUCCUUCGACGGCGCCGCCUAGGAACGCGGAGAAAAUAUGACAAAGGAACGGCCAAAAAUAAAAAGAAAGACCUUUCUUUUGAAAAAACAAACAAAUAAAAGGAAUGCAACACGAGGACUUCCCAGGAGGUCACCCAUCCUAGUACUACUCUCGCCCAAGCACGCUUAACUUCGGAGUUCUGAUGGGAUCCGGUGCUUUAGUGCUGGUAUGAUCGCAUCCGACAUACCGUGCGUUCUCCUCCCCUUUAUGCCCGCGCCUCCGUGUACGGCCCGCCCAUAGCUCCUUCGACGGCGCCGCCUAGGAACGCGGAGAAAAUAUGACAAAGGAACGGCCAAAAAUAAAAAGAAAGACCUUUCUUUUGAAAAAACAAACGCCUCCGUGUACGGCCCGCCCAUAGCUCCUUCGACGGCGCCGCCUAGGAACGCGGAGAAAAUAUGACAAAGGAACGGCCAAAAAUAAAAAGAAAGACCUUUCUUUUGAAAAAACAAACAAAAAAAAGGAAUGCAACACGAGGACUUCCCAGGAGGUCACCCAUCCUAGUACUACUCUCGCCCAAGCACGCUUAACUUCGGAGUUCUGAUGGGAUCCGGUGCUUUAGUGCUGGUAUGAUCGCAUCCGACAUACCGAGCGUUCUCCUCCCCUUUAUGCCCGCGCCUCCGUGUACGGCCCGCCCAUAGCUCCUUCGACGGCGCCGCCUAGGAACGCGGAGAAAAUAUGACAAAGGAACGGCCAAAAAUAAAAAGAAAGACCUUUCUUUUGAAAAAACAAACGCCUCCGUGUACGGCCCGCCCAUAGCUCCUUCGACGGCGCCGCCUAGGAACGCGGAGAAAAUAUGACAAAGGAACGGCCAAAAAUAAAAAGAAAGACCUUUCUUUUGAAAAAACAAACAAAAAAAAGGAAUGCAACACGAGGACUUCCCAGGAGGUCACCCAUCCUAGUACUACUCUCGCCCAAGCACGCUUAACUUCGGAGUUCUGAUGGGAUCCGGUGCUUUAGUGCUGGUAUGAUCGCAUCCGACAUACCGUGCGUUCUCCUCCCCUUUAUGCCCGCGCCUCCGUGUACGGCCCGCCCAUAGCUCCUUCGACGGCGCCGCCUAGGAACGCGGAGAAAAUAUGACAAAGGAACGGCCAAAAAUAAAAAGAAAGACCUUUCUUUUGAAAAAACAAACACCUAAAAGGAAUGCAACACGAGGACUUCCCAGGAGGUCACCCGUCAUCGUAGUACUCUCGCCCAAGCACGCUUAGCUUCGGAGUUCUGAUGAGAUCCGGUGCUUUAGUGCUGGUAUGAUCGCAUCCGACAUACCGUGAGUUCUCCUCCCCUUUAUGCCCGUGCCUCCAUGUACCGCCCGCCCAUAGCUCCUUCGACGGGACGCUCCUAGGAACGCGGAGAAAAUAUUACAAAGGAGCGCCCAAAAAUAAAAAGAAAGACCUUUCUUUUGAAAAAACAAACGCCUCCGUGUACGGCCCGCCCAUAGCUCCUUCGACGGCGCCGCCUAGGAACGCGGAGAAAAUAUGACAAAGGAACGGCCAAAAAUAAAAAGAAAGACCUUUCUUUUGAAAAAACAAACAAAAAAAAGGAAUGCAACACGCGGACUUCCCAGGAGGUCACCCAUCCUAGUACUACUCUCGCCCAAGCACGCUUAAGUUCGGAGUUCUGAUGGGAUCCGGUUCUUUAGUGCUGGCAUGCUCGCAUCAGGCAUGCCGCGCGUUCUCCUCCCCGGUAGGCACGCAUCUUAGUGUACGUCUCGCCCAUAGCUCCUUCGUUGGGAGCUCCUAGGAGCUCGGAGAAAAUAUGGCAAAGGAACGGCCAUAAAUAAAAAGAAAGACCUUUCUUCUGAAAAAACAAACGCCUCCGUGUACGGCCCGCCCAUAGCUCCUUCGACGGCGCCGCCUAGGAACGCGGAGAAAAUAUGACAAAGGAACGGCCAAAAAUAAAAAGAAAGACCUUUCUUUUGAAAAAACAAACAAAUAAAAGGAAUGCAACACGAGGACUUCCCAGGAGGUCACCCAUCCUAGUACUACUCUCGCCCAAGCACGCUUAACUUCGGAGUUCUGAUGGGAUCCGGUGCUUUAGUGCUGGUAUGAUCGCAUCCGACAUACCGUGCGUUCUCCUCCCCUUUAUGCCCGCGCCUCCGUGUACGGCCCGCCCAUAGCUCCUUCGACGGCGCCGCCUAGGAACGCGGAGAAGGAGUAUGACAAAGGAACGGCCAAAAAUAAAAAGAAAGACCUUUCUUUUGAAAAAACAAACAAAUAAAAGGAAUGCAACACGAGGACUUCCCAGGAGGUCACCCAUCCUAGUACUACUCUCGCCCAAGCACGCUUAACUUCGGAGUUCUGAUGGGAUCCGGUGCUUUAGUGCUGGUAUGAUCGCAUUCGACAUACCGGGCGUACUCCUCCCCUUUAUGCCCGCGCCUCCGUGUACGGCCCGCCCAUAGCUCCUUCGACGGCGCCGCCUAGGAACGCGGAGAAAAUAUGACAAAGGAACGGCCAAAAAUAAAAAGAAAGACCUUUCUUUUGAAAAAACAAACGAAUCCGAGGAAUGCAAGACGAGGACUUCCCAGGAGGUCACCCAUCCUAGUACUACUCUCGCCCAAGCACGCUUAAGUUCGGAGUUCUGAUGGGAUCCGGUGCUUUAGUGCUGGUAUGAUCGCGUCCGACGUACCGUGCGUUCUCCUCCCCUUGAUGCCCGUGCCUCCGUGUACGGCCCGCCCAUAGCUCCUUCGACGGCGCCGUCNNNNNNNNNNNNNNNNNNNNNNNNNNNNNNNNNNNNNNNNNNNNNNNNNNNNNNNNNNNNNNNNNNNNNNNNNNNNNNNNNNNNNNNNNNNNNNNNNNNNAACACGAGGACUUCCCAAGAGGUCACCCAUCCUAGUACUACUCUCGCCCAAGCACGCUUAACUUCGGAGUUCUGAUGGGAUCCGGUGCUUUAGUGCUGGUAUGAUCGCAUCCGACAUACCGUGCGUUCUCCUCCCCUUUAUGCCCGCGCCUCCGUGUACGGCCCGCCCAUAGCUCCUUCGACGGCGCCGCCUAGGAACGCGGAGAAAAUAUGACAAAGGAACGGCCAAAAAUAAAAAGAAAGACCUUUCUUUUGAAAAAACAAACAAAAAAAAGGAAUGCAACACGAGGACUUCCCAGGAGGUCACCCAUCCUAGUACUACUCUCGCCCAAGCACGCUUAACUUCGGAGUUCUGAUGGGAUCCGGUGCUUUAGUGCUGGUAUGAUCGCAUCCGACAUACCGUGCGUUCUCCUCCCCUUUAUGCCCGCGCCUCCGUGUACGGCCCGCCCAUAGCUCCUUCGACGGCGCCGCCUAGGAACGCGGAGAAAAUAUGACAAAGGAACGGCCAAAAAUAAAAAGAAAGACCUUUCUUUUGAAAAAACAAACAAAAAAAAGGAAUGCAACACGAGGACUUCCCAGGAGGUCACCCAUCCUAGUACUACUCUCGCCCAAGCACGCUUAACUUCGGAGUUCUGAUGGGAUCCGGUGCUUUAGUGCUGGUAUGAUCGCAUCCGACAUACCAUGCGUUCUCCUCCCCUUUAUGCCCGCGCCUCCGUGUACGGCCCGCCCAUAGCUCCUUCGACGGCGCCGCCUAGGAACGCGGAGAAAAUAUGACAAAGGAAUGGCCAAAAAUAAAAAGAAAGACCUUUCUUUUGAAAAAACAAACGCCUCCGUGUACGGCCCGCCCAUAGCUCCAUCGACGGCGCCGCCUAGGAACGCGGAGAAAAUAUGACAAAGGAACGGCCAAAAAUAAAAAGAAAGACCUUUCUUUUGAAAAAAACAAACAAAAAAAAGGAAUGCAACGCGAGGACUUCCCAGGAGGUCACCCAUCCUAGUACUACUCUCGCCCAAGCACGCUUAACUUCGGAGUUCUGAUGGGAUCCGGUGCUUUAGUGCUGGUAUGAUCGCAUCCGACAUACCGUGCGUUC